CUCCGGAGUUAGACUUGGUCCUGCAAAGAGGACACUCAGGUCCGAGCCUUGAGUCACUCGCCGUAGUACCAAAGCCCGACGUCGGAGGCCCGCGCAGAGUGAACCGGGCCUCCGCCUGCAGACACACGGGCGAGGCCCACCUGCUGCCCCCUGAGGCCUGGGCACCAGACUGACCUGACGUUCCUGACACCUAGAUUUCUGCCUAUUAAGGGUGUUUGAUUCGAUGCUGCAAGGACUCCUGGGAGAUAGCCUAUGUGACAGCGGUCGUUUUAGUCCACAAGAGCCUCAGAGGAACUAAGCCAGGUCCUUACUUGCCGAGGAUCUGGAAGUUGGCGGAGUGAGCUCUGCUCAGGUCAGGGGCCCCCUCGCUGGGACUGUCCAGCUCGGAGGCCUGCAGGCUUCCUGAGCGCCUCUCUUCCUGGGGCCCAGCGGGGCUCCCGGCGGGUCAGAAGCUUCCCCUCCAAGCUAGUGGGGUGGGUUUCAGAGCAUCGGAAGGGAAGUCGUUACCCCCACCCCCCACCCAGGCUCAGCUCCCCAAAGAGCCCCUGAGGCUGAAGGGCUGCGGGAGGCGCCCCGAGCACGGAGAGCUGCAGGCCGGAGAGGAAACUGGACAGCUAGGCCCAGGCGCAGGAAAACGGCGGCAACGGCCGACGUUUAGGAAGCACUUACGCAUGCCACGCACCGUGGUAAGCACGUUAUCGGUAAUGACUGGAGUGACCGUCCCGGCUGGUGGCCCCCGACAGGCGGGCAUUUGAGGGGUGCGCACCACGUGGUGGAGGCGAUGUGGGGCAGAGAUGGCACUGAAGGGGCUGGUCAGCGGUGGCCUGAAACGCCAUAACAGUCCCACAGCUGCGAACAGUGUGACAGAGUCUCUCACCAGAGAGAUGACGCGGCACAAGCCUGGGUAUCAAGUCUGCCCCGCCCCGGGCAGGGCGGCCCUGCAGUCACUUCCUUCCAGGCGGGGAGCCCUGGUUCCACAGGGACGGCCUCUGAUGCCCCAGGAGGAAGGAGCUCAUCAGACACCUUCCAGCGCCUGAAGCUUUCCUAGUUGGCCUUCGUGAAGGAGCGGGUGCGACUGCCCUGGUCUGUCGUUAGUGGCCGUGGAAAUUGCAUGCUGUUCACUCCAGUCUUGUUGAGGAAGACGCUUGAGCAGCUUUGGAGGCUGGCACUGCUGCUUACACAGUUGUCCGAACCCGUAGCUCUUUGCGUCGGCAGCGUCUGAGCGAGGUGACUCACAGACCCAGCAUGUGGGGCAUGGAGGGCGGUGUGUGUGACAGCCAGCCCCGUGAGCUGGCCCUAUGGCCUCGCUGUCUGAGUAAACAUAAGCCAAGAUGGCACCAGAGGUGGCCUGUGCUGUCCCGAGCAGAUCUGGGGGCAGGGCCCAGGGCCGCUGGGGCCUCCCUCGCUUCUACAGGUGAACACGAAAAUAGUCUCUUUGUUCCACUUUCACAAAGAUGGCUACAACAGUGCUCAGCGCUGGUUCAACAGCCUGUAGUUCAACAGCCUGUAGUUCAACAGCUGGAGUCCGAGCCAGAGAUCGGAGUCGGGCCAUCCUGGCCAGGGGCUGCGGAAAGGCGAGACAAGGCAUUCCUAGAACUCGCGCACAGGCUUCUUACGAAUCUGAACCAGACUGGCAUGGGGGGUGGCUCGUUAUGACCUUCACGGGCAAGGGCACGGUGUGGGGCCAGAAUUUCCACACUUGCCCAAUGCCGUCUUCUUGGUGUUGUGGACUGAAAUGCAUCCCCCCGAAUUCCCAUGUUGAAGUCCUAAUCCCCAAAACCUCGAAUGCAACUGUAUUUGGGGUUAGGGCUUUUAAAGAAGGACGUCUGUUCAGUGAGGUUGUACGUGUGGUCGUUGACCCAGCAGGACUGGUGACCUUAUUGGAGGAGAGAGAGACACCAGAGAUGAGCACAGACAGAGAGAAGGCCGCGCGAGGACACAGCUAGAAGGUGGCCAUGGGCAAGCCAAGGAGAGAGGCCUCAGGAGAACCAAACCUGCCAACACCUUGACCUCAGACUUCCAGCUGCUAGGACUGUGAGAAGAUAAAUUCCUGUUGUGUAGGCCUCCCCCCCCCCCACCCCCACUGCCCACCAUCUGUAGGGCUUUGUUACCGGCAGCCUGGGCACAUGAAUACACCUGGGGUGGGGUCAGACACUCUCAGGUGACAGAGGUGAGGGUACCAAACCCUGUGCUCCCUGGAAACACCCCCCACCCCACCUGGUCCUGCAGUAUCCGGCUUUGGAAAAACCCCUUCCCAGGGCUUCGUUUGCUCCAUUGUGUCUGGGUCUGUUUGCCAGCCUCGGCCAAUCUUCCUUGACCAACCACGCCCUUCCACCUGAGGGCAUUCCCGCAAGUUUCUGUCUCUGAAGGCAGAGAGCCCAGAGCUCAGGGUUUCUGUCCUGAGGGUUGCUGGCACUUGAGUUCCUGGCUCUGCUGGAAGCACCACAAGGACUGUGGAUCGGAUUUGCUCUCGGGGGGGCGGGGGGAUUCCGGGGGCCGGGACACUUUGCAGCCUCAUGGGCUGCCCAUGACUUGCACGAAGCUACCAUUUCUUUUUUUUUUUUUAAAUUAUUUUUUUUUUAUUUUUUUAAAUUUUAUUUUAUUAUAUUAUGUUAAUCACCAUACAGUACAUCCCCAGAUUCCGAUGUAAAGUUUGAUGCUUCAUUAGUUGGGUAUAACACCCAUUGCACCAUGCAAUACGUGCCCUCCUUACUACCCAUCACCAGUCUAUCCCAUUCCCCCGCCCCCUCCCCUCUGAAGUACAAAGCUACCAUUUCUAAACCUCUUGCCCUGCGGUUUCUUGUUCUGUUCCUGUGAGCUGGGGCUCUCGGCGGUCUGAGAAUGACCCAAACCAAGCUGUGGUUCUUGCCCUCAUGGUGUGACAACGGAGACCAGACGUAGGUGACCCACAACCCACAGGGAACCUGGGACUGGAGAGAACAGUGACACGGGAUUCAUGGCGAGCAGCCCCUGGGUGGCGAAGCUGACUUGUCUGGCCUCAGCCUGAGCUCGUGGGGAGCCACGUUAGGAUGCACGAACCACAGUGCUUCAAGCAGAGCUGACCAAGCUAUGGCCAAGACUGCAUUGUCCAGAAGGCGAAACGAGAUAGGGCUUUACGUCCACAGGCACUGGUGUCGCCUGUUGCCUGACUGGCCAGAGAAGAGCAAGACAUCUACGAAUACUGUUAAUUUCAUCAUGUUUUAUAACUAGAUGAACAGAACCGGUGUGGAGGUGUGAACAGCACUUCGUCCCCAGGAGAUGCCGAUGAGAUCAUAAGAGGAAGUGCUUUUAGGACAACAGCAUCUUCUACCUGAUACUUACCACGUGGCAGGUGGAAGUGCCGGUCUACAGUGACAGCCUCCUCCUCCAAGCGGCUUUUAUAUAUUAAAAACAAGAAAUGAAUAACAAAACCCCUCAACCGUCACAACAACAUGGAGCAAUCGGACUUUCAGCCUCGUUACGGCGAGGCAAGGACCCCCACAGAUGGACGGAGCCAGACGAGAAAGCUGAUUAUUGGUGCAGCUGUGCACGCGGUGUGGGGCGGACACAGCUGGACGCCAGCGUUAAAGCCACAGCUCUCGUGAGGCCUGAGAAGCUGCAGUGAAUGCCCUGGAUGCAGUGGCUGCACAGGCGGACAGUGGGCAGCUGCUUCCCUCAAGAUGGGCCUAGGGGACCGCAUCAAGACCGCAAGGGCCAGACUGCUGAUGGCAGCACCUGUCUGCAUCCCACCUCCCUGCCUGGGGCGCUAGGUGCUCUCCUGUGGUCUCCCCACCUCUUGCUUUCAUCUGAGCCUUUACCCCGCCAGGUACAGCCACUGACCCAGGGCACCGUAGAGCAAAGGUCUGGCCCUCUGCCUGCCUUUGCACAGCCUAUGAGCUAAGAAGAGUUUUCAUACCCUGAAACGGUGUGAAAUUCUUUAAAAAAAAAAAAGAGUAAUAUUUUGUGACAUGAGACAGUCAUACAAUUCAAAUGUCAGUGUCCAUAAAUAGGGACUUGUUCAUUUGUUCUGUAGUCUUCGGCCACUUUCACGCUACAGCUGCAGAGGACAUAUGGCCUGCAAAACCUAAAAUACUUAUUAUCUGGCCCUUUGCAGAGAAAGUGUGCCAAUCCCCGACUUAGAUCCUUCCUUCCAGGAGCAUUUGAACUUUAAUUGACUCUCCUGUCUUAAGCAGGAGAGAUGAAGCUCUUAAUGGUGGACUGUAGAUGGCUAUCUAUGGCAAGUGGCUCCCUCUGGCUGACUUUGCCAGGAGAAGGUGUGGGGAAAAUUACAGCCGCGUAACAAAGAGGCAGCAGGAUGUAAAAGAGAAGACUGGAGUUUCUAAUUCCGGCUUCAACUAACUAAUAAUUAUGUGAUCUGAGCAAAAAGGCGCCUCACGUCCUGGUGCUUUUCUCAUCCAUUCAAAAUCUGCCCUCUUGGCCUCAAACAGGAAGAUAAUAGCUGUGAAAUGUUUUGCGAUCUAAAGCAUCACUCAAAUGCAAAGAUCAGCCAGGCUCUAGAAUCCUGAUAAAGUACAUUUCUUCCUCUCCAGGCGAAGGCAACAGAAGUGACUGCGAGUGUUGCAAUCCUGUUCUCGUCCAUCCCAAGUCAAGAUGCUUGGUUUGGCAACAAGACUAUUAGAGACCCUUGGCAUCUGUGCAACUGACAUUCAGUCAUUCCCAAGCCACCCGGAAGGCCCCGACUAUCUGCUUGUCAUUUUGCUGAGACACAGAACUGAGCUACUCACCUGCUACUUACUGAGUGAAUCUAGUGGAUGGCCGAGUCGCCUCGUCCCGGGAUGGCUCACUGUUCUCUCCUUGUUAGAGCAGAUGUAAUAACUAAUAAAGUGAUUUAAGACUUCCUUUAUAAA